GCAAAGUUUAACUCUGGGUGUUCGGGUGCUAAAUUAUAGAGAGAUCGUAGGUGGCUAUUAACAUUUGACACUCAAAAGACUCAUUUGGAUCUAAACCAUUUGCUAACUGAUAACGGUAUGUGACGGAUCGUUUAAGUGUGUGAAACACUAUCAGAUAAGACUUUUUCCAGGCUAGUACUCCAUGAAAAGUGAUGUGUUUGACUUCAUCAGUGCAGUACCUUGUACAGUGAGCUCUGCCUUGGCCUCGAUAGUGUUGUUAGUGAUGUCUGCCAUACAGCUGUAGACGCCUGCAUCCUCCUCAGNNNNNNNNNNCUAUCUACAUUGUGCUGCAACAGGCUAUUCUGUUGGGUGGUUUUGAUACAAUGCUACAUGGAAUGCACACAUGGAAUGCAUGUAAUGGUUUGGUGUCUAUCUACAGUAUAUUGAUGAUACCAUAUCAAGAGCUACAAUAGUAUGUGUCCUGGGCAAAGUUUAACUCUGGGUGUUCGGGUGCUAAAUUAUAGAGAGAUCGUAGGUGGCUAUUAACAUUUGACACUCAAAAGACUCAUUUGGAUCUAAACCAUUUGCUAACUGAUAACGGUAUGUGACGGAUCGUUUAAGUGUGUGAAACACUAUNNNNNNNNNNCAGAUAAGACUUUUUCCAGGCUAGUACUCCAUGAAAAGUGAUGUGUUUGACUUCAUCAGUGCAGUACCUUGUACAGUGAGCUCUGCCUUGGCCUCGAUAGUGUUGUUAGUGAUGUCUGCCAUACAGCUGUAGACGCCUGCAUCCUCCUCAGUCAGGUUGUAGAUCAACAGACUGCCUCCUCCCACCAACCAUCGGACGUAGGGCGCUGGAUAACCCGUCACCACACACGGCAGCAGCAAACUGGCCCCCACCACUUUGGUCACAGGAAGUGGCUCUACCAGGAACUCCAGUUCUCUCUCCUCUCCGGUUUCUGUCCAAACAAAGAACAGGGUCGACCUCUGGUUAACGNNNNNNNNNNUUGCAAACUAGAAAUCAAUCAGAGGUUGGGGAGGGCGGAGUGAGCAAAUAGUGCUGUAAUCAGUGUACAA
rnacentral:lncRNA from 13 species